ACGAACGCUGGCGGCGUGCUUAGCCCAUGCAAGUCGAACGGAAAGGCCCUGCUUUUGUGGGGUGCUCGAGUGGCGAACGGGUGAGUAACACGUGAGUAACCUGCCCUUGACUUUGGGAUAACUUCAGGAAACUGGGGCUAAUACCGGAUAGGAGCUCCUGCUGCAUGGUGGGGGUUGGAAAGUUUCGGCGGUUGGGGAUGGACUCGCGGCUUAUCAGCUUGUUGGUGGGGUAGUGGCUUACCAAGGCUUUGACGGGUAGCCGGCCUGAGAGGGUGACCGGCCACAUUGGGACUGAGAUACGGCCCAGACUCCUACGGGAGGCAGCAGUGGGGAAUAUUGCACAAUGGGCGGAAGCCUGAUGCAGCAACGCCGCGUGCGGGAUGACGGCCUUCGGGUUGUAAACCGCUUUCGCCUGUGACGAAGCGUGAGUGACGGUAAUGGGUAAAGAAGCACCGGCUAACUACGUG
rnacentral:rRNA from 1 species